UAUAAAUUCAACGUAAGUGAAAUUGCGAACGGCUCAUUAGAGCAGCUAUUAUUCUCUUCGGUAUCAUUUAUUGGAUAACUGCGGCAAUUCUGGAGCUAAUACACGUAAUUUAGCCCCGACUCACGAAGGGGUACGGUUAUUAGUACAGACCAAUCGUCUUCGGACGCGGCUGUUGACUCUGAAUAACGCUGUUUAUCGUCGGUUUAUCCGACGAAAACCGAAAGAAGUGUCUGCCCUAUCAACCAGAUGGUAGCCUAUUAGACUACCAUGGUUAUAACGGGUAACGGAGAAUCAGGGUUCGACUCCGGAGAGGGAGCCUUAGAAACGGCUACCACAUCCAAGGAAGGCAGCAGGCGCGUAACUUAUCCACUACAUUUGUGAGAUAGAGACGAAAAAUAGAAAGGGUAAUCCUCUGGAUUUCCUAUUUCAAUGAUUUGAGCCCAAAUAGCUCUUUGAUGACCCAGUGA
rnacentral:rRNA from 1 species